GGGUAUUUAUAUAUGUGUAUUUUUUUUGUUUUGUUUAUGUUUUAUUAACAUUUUAAAAAAAAAAAGAAAAAUUAAGAUUAAUUCUUAUUUAUACAAACGGUGGUAAAUCACAUUUUGUUCAAUUUUAUUAUUUAUAAAACAAAGCGUACAUUAACAAUACAUAUGAUGCAUAUAUGAAUAUAGUGUCCAUAUAAACCUUACAUACAUACAUAUAUAUAUAAUAUUGAACACAUUUUUAAAAAAAUUAUUAUAAUACUUAUAUAUCUUAAUUCAACAUGCCUGAUAGCAUAAAAAGUGAAGAAAAAUUAGAAAACGAAAUUAGGGUAUCCUAUAAAAUCGAGACCUUAUAUUAUGUACAUAAAGCUGCUCUGUUGUUGUUGAAUCAUGAUGAAAUAAUAUUGUCGGGUGUUGGUAAGGCUAUUACGUCAGUUGUUCAGGUUGUUGAAAUGCUUAAAAGAAGAGCAAAAGGAUUACAUCAAUUUACGAAGCUUUACGAAAAGGAACACACUAUUAAAAGAGAAGACACCAGCGGUUUAAAACGUAACCCAAAAAGGGAAGAUAACGUGUCGAAUAAUAGAGAAGCAAAUGACAAGGAUAAGGAACCGUAUAAGAGAAUUAUAGAAUAUACUACUGUUGUACCAUGCAUAAAAAUAACUUUAACAAAAAAUGAAAAAAACAUUAAGAAAGAUGUGGUAGGUUAUCAAAAACCACUAGAUGAUAAGUAUGUAAACCCAUUGACACCUGAUGAAAUAUUAAAGGAAAGGGACAUUCAAAAGUGUAAGAUACAUAUAUAUUUAUGUAAUAAAGGUGGAAUUUUAUAUAUAUAUUUUACAUACGCACACAUGUUUAUGUAUACACGAUUUUUAAUUAUAUAUGUGAUGUAUUUUACCAUUUUAUGUCUACAAUUUUAUGUUUAUAUUUUUAUGUUUAUGUUUUCACUCUUAUCCAUUUGACAUUAACAGACCGAAGAGGAAGAGGAAAAGGAAAUGGUAGGUACAGAACAUCAUAUAGGAGAAAUUAUUAUGAUAAUUACACGUGGAAUAAUAGAAGAUAUUAAAGAAAUUAACAUUGUAAAAAAAAAAAUAUAUAUAUAUAUAUAUAUAUAAUUU
rnacentral:lncRNA from 1 species